rnacentral:rRNA from 1 species
UACGGAGGGUGCGAGCGUUGUCCGGAAUCAUUGGGCGUAAAGGGCGCGUAGGUGGCCCGGUCAGUUCGUGGUGAAAGCGCGGGGCUCAACCCUGCGUCGGCCAUGAAUACUGCUGCGGCUGGAGCACUGUAGAGGCAGGCGGAAUUCCGGGUGUAGCGGUGGAAUGCGUAGAGAUCGGGAAGAACGCCGGCGGCGAAAGCGACUCUCUGGUCGGAAUCUGACGCUGAGGUGCGAAAGCUAGGGGAGCAAACGGG